AAAUUUUCCAGCUGAAAAGUGUCGUCGGUGUCUGAUUCCGUGGAAAACUGUCUGCACUUCGUGGAAUAAGGUUUCUGGCGUCGAUAGCCUUCAUCACUUGGCCUACCUAGAGCCCAGUAUCUGGCCGUCGAUCUUCGAUUUGUGCCUGUACCACAACGAAACACUCUUCCUCUACCUCCAAAAAAGGAUCCGUCAACGGAGACCCUGUUACAUUUCUCCCGCAAGCUCUGCAACUGAUCCUUCGUGGUCCCCUGUUCUCUAUCGCCUGCCAAGCUUUCUCCAUCAGCAGAAACAUGUCUGGUCGAAAAUCAUAUAAAGAAUAUAUGAAGAUGCGUAUGCGGGAAAGUGAUGAAGAGAAAAUCAACCGGUUAAAUGCGGAAGCAGCACUUUACGAUCGCCAUUACUUGUGCUCUUCCAAACCAAAGAAGAUCGA